UACAGAGGGUGCGAGCGUUAAUCGGAAUUACUGGGCGUAAAGCGUGCGUAGACGGUUAUGUAAGUUAGGUGUGAAAGCCCCGGGCUCAACCUGGGAAUUGCAUUUAAGACUGCAUAGCUAGGGUGCGGAAGAGGGAAGCGGAAUUUCCGGUGUAGCGGUGAAAUGCGUAGAUAUCGGAAAGGAACAUCAGUGGCGAAAGCGGCUUCCUGGUCCAGCACCGACGUCAGGCACGAAAGCGUGGGGAGCAAACAGG
rnacentral:rRNA from 1 species